GACACCCUUAAACAUCGCAAAAUAUUAAUGUUGCUCUCACAUUUAUUAACAAUAUGGUCUAUGUGCGCUACACCGUUCAUUCUACUGUCAAAUAUUUUACCCAAAAAUUUUACCUCUUUCUUUACUGGAAUUAGGGUCCCAUUGCACUCAACAUCAAUAUGGGGUAUCUGACGUUUUCUAGAAAAGACAACGACUACACUUUUGGAGGCUGAUAGGUCUAAAUAAUUAUUAUUCAGCCAUGAGGAUAGUACAGUCAUGCCACUUUCAAUAUUAUCCUUUGCUACGCUUAUAGAAUUAUUAGAAGAAUAAAUAAGGAGGUCAUCAGCAUACUGUAAGAUAUUACACACAUCCGAUAUGUGAUGAUCUAUAUCGGUAGUGUAAACAUCAUACAGCAGAGGGCUGAUUACAGAACCUUGAGGAACCCUUAGCUGAACUAAUUUGUUCCUAAGGACCCAAAGAUUAACAUUAUCAUAUGCCGCUGAAACAUCGAGGAAGCCAGCUACCACUGACUUGUUUUGACUAAAUGCCAACUGAAUGUCAGUAGUGAAAAUGGCAUGACUAUCGGAAAUACUCCGGCCUUUCCUGAAUCCAUAUUGAGAAUCUGCCAGUAAAGAAUGGUGCUCCAGGAACCAUUCUAAUCUGUUUUUUAUCAAGUGUUCUACUACUUUGGGCAUGGUAGAUGAGAGCGCUAUAGGCCGAUAUGAAAGUGAAUUACAAGGGUCUUUCCCUGGUUUGGGAACGGGUACAAUUAAUUGAUGUUUCCAAUUUUCCGGAAUAACUCCAGAAUCAACAACUAAAUUAAUCAAGCUUAAAAAAUAACUAAGGGAACUAUUCCGGGAUUUUGAAAGAAAGGAAUAAGGGAUACCAUCAGGACCAGGGGAAGAGUCCCUGAUAUGGCUGAGUACUAAUUUUAAUUCUUGAAAAGUAUAAGGGGAGUCUAAAAUAGAAGAAAUAGCCCGGGUGGAAUAUAAAUAGGGAAUUUGAUAGAAAUUAGGAACUGAAGGGGAGCUAGCCUGUCUAAAAAUCAUCUACCCAGCUUAUUGAGUAGGAAGAAAGGGAACGGUGAUUACGAGACAAUCUAUAAUACUUCAUUUUUUUCCAAACGAGAGACGAAGGAGUUUCAGGCGUUAUAGACGCACAAAAUGUGCGCCAGCCUUGACGUUUUUUUUUACUUAAAAGUCUUUUCGUAGCAGCACUCGCAUUACGAUAGUUUAGGAAAGAGUCAAGGUUAAUGUCAGUGGAACAGAGUGCUUCUGCUUCAUAUCUCCUUUUAAUAGAAUCAGUACACUCUGAAUCCCACCAGGGGGGGGAAGGGAUUUUGCCUAAGACAACAUUUUUUAUUAAAUAUCGCCUCUGCAGAAGCAAGUAUAGAAUCUUUAAAUCCCUCACAACAUUCUUUAAUAUUAGAUAACUUAGGUUCAGGAAGCAAAUUCGUUUUUUCUUCAAGUAAAGCGCCAUAGAGACCCCAUUUGGAAGAAUCUAUGAUGUAAGGUAGAAGAGGAGGAAGAAUAGGAACAUUAAUAUUUAGAGAAGGAAAUGAAAUUAGGAUAGGAAAAUGGUCGGAACCAUGAGAGUAAGGAAGACGUGACCACGAUAAUAAGGAAGCUAAAGAGGGAGAGCAAAAA